ACUUCCGAAGCAAGGUUGUCGGCUCUCCGGACAUUCCCGAAGUCCUGCGUUUAACACCCUUGCCUUCAGCCGUACUCACCGUGUGCAAGAUCUUGCAGAGAUUAAGCAUCCGCAGCGCAUGCAUACAUUUUUUCGUUAAUUGCAUAAACAUGUAUUUAAAACAUGUUUUUGUAUUAAUUUUAACGGUUCAUUUUUUAACCUACGCCAAUUUGUAGCCGAUUGGUCAUUCUGUUGAAAGUGCGUACAUACGAACUACUUUGUUUACGUUUUCCAAGUUGGCGACCGCCAGCGUACAAACCAUGCAGGUUUAUUGUUACUGAUUAUCAUGACAUGAGGUGCAAGGACUUGACAGGAGAUCUGAGAAGUUAGCAGUUUAAUUUCUAUGUUAAUUUCAAUACAUGUAGUAUUAUAUUUUUUGAAUGGACAUAUUAUAAGGAACUGUAACAAAGAGAAGCUGACUUGAAAGAAACAUACUUUGUAUGUUGUGUGCUGAUAGAGAAUGACAGAGUCACAGACUAUUAUAAAUGUUGCAAUUCAAACAAUUAUCAUAGACACAGGAAAUAAACAUAUAUAACUUUUA